GAUGAACGCUGGCGGCGUGCCUAAUACAUGCAAGUCGAGCGAAUGGAUUAAGAGCUUGCUCUUAUGAAGUUAGCGGCGGACGGGUGAGUAACACGUGGGUAACCUGCCCAUAAGACUGGGAUAACUCCGGGAAACCGGGGCUAAUACCGGAUAACAUUUUGAACCGCAUGGUUCGAAAUUGAAAGGCGGCUUCGGCUGUCACUUAUGGAUGGACCCGCGUCGCAUUAGCUAGGUGGUGAGGUAACGGCUCACAAAGGCAACGAUGCGUAGCCGACCUGAGAGGGUGAUCGGCCACACUGGGACUGAGACACGGCCCAGACUCCUACGGGAGGCAGCAGUAGGGAGUCUUCCGCAAUGGACGAAAGUCUGACGGAGCAACGCCGCGUGAGUGAUGAAGGCUUUCGGGUCGUAAAACUCUGUUGUUAGGGAAGAACAAGUGCUAGUUGAAUAAGCUGGCACCUUGACGGUACCUAACCAGAAAGCCACGGCUAACUACGUGCCAGCAGCCGCAGUAA
rnacentral:rRNA from 1 species